rnacentral:hammerhead_ribozyme from 1 species
CUGCAGAUGAUGAGUCACAAAUAGGACGAAAUGCGCAUCCUGGAU